rnacentral:rRNA from 1 species
AUACGGGGGGUGCAAGCGUUAUUCGGAUUUAUUGGGCGUAAAGGGCGCGUAGGCGGCUUGGAAAGUCAGAUGUGAAAGCCCGGGGCUCAACCCCGGAAGUGCAUUUGAAACUAUCAGGCUUGAGUAUGGGAGAGGGAAGUGGAAUUCCUGGUGUAGAGGUGAAAUUCGUAGAUAUCAGGAGGAACACCGGUGGCGAAGGCGACUUCCUGGACCAAUACUGACGCUGAGGCGCGAAGGCGUGGGGAGCAAACAGAAUUAGAAACCCCAGUAGUCC